AUGCUCUAGAGACAGACAAUUUUCAGAAGUUUCGUAUGGGGAUGGUUUUAUAUAAAUUUAGGUUUUUCCCACAAUAAUAAAUUUAUUUAGUCUCAGUGCUCAAUAGAAGAGAUUUCUAAUAGAAGAGGAUUCAAACUAUGAAACCAUUUCUCUUUUAAUUUCACAUUCCUGUUACAGAUUUGUUCUCUUGUGACUCUGUUAUCCAUAAUAUGGACAGUUCUUGAGUCCUAACAUUCAGAGGUUUUCCCUCAGUGCGUAUAGGGAAUGAGUAUUAAUUGGAGAAGCUUAAAGUAUUGCCACUUUAGCACUGAAGAUUGGGACGAGAGGAGGUGAAACCUCACUAGAAAAAGGGACAAUGUUAGUGUGGCCCUUCCUGAUCGUGUUUAAGAAAAGUCAUGAAAAUGGUGAACUAGUGUUUCCAAGCAUAUUGGAAGGGUUAAGUGUAUACUGUCUGUCGAAGACUUCCUGCAUUUCCAGGUCCUAGAGAGGAACAAGACUGCACUUGGAUUCAGCUUCUUCAUUUCCAACAUGGAAGAAACUUACACCACAUUUUUUUUCUUAAAUAUCACCU
rnacentral:sRNA from 1 species